rnacentral:miRNA from 1 species
ACGGAAAGCCGUGCGGCCGGGCU